GACGAACGCUGGCGGCGUGCUUAACACAUGCAAGUCGAACGGUAAGGCCCUUCGGGGUACACGAGUGGCGAACGGGUGAGUAACAAGUGGGUGAUCUGCACUGCACUUUGGGAUAAGCCUGGGAAACUGGGUCUAAUACCGGAUAGCACCAUUCACUUCACGGUGUGUGGUGGCAAGCUUUUGCGGUGUGGGAUGGGCCCGCGGCCUAUCAGCUUGUUGGUGGGGUGAUGGCCUACCAAGGCGACGACGGGUAGCCGGCCUGAGAGGGUGACCGGCCACACUGGGAGUGAGAUACGGCCCAGACUCCUACGGGAGGCAGCAGUGGGGAAUAUUGCACAAUGGGCGCAAGCCUGAUGCAGCGACGCCGCGUGAGGGAUGACGGCCUUCGGGUUGUAAACCUCUUUCAGUAGGGACGAAGCGCAAGUGACGGUACCUACAGAAGAAGGACCGGCCAACUACGUGCCAGCAGCCGCCGUAA
rnacentral:rRNA from 1 species